rnacentral:lncRNA from 1 species
AAUUUCAGCUCUUUGAAGUGCUAGACUUAUUUCCAUUCUGCAGAUGGAAAUCACUGGAGCAUAACAGACAAGCACUCAAUUACAGCACAGCACUACUUAGCAUUGAAAUUUGUCUGAGGUAGAACUGUAUCGCUGUGCAUGUCCUUGGUGCAGUUGAGGCCUUGGAGCACACUCACAUAAGUAGUGUGACGUGUAGAGAAUAUACCCACACCACACUUCCACUUCCAUGUUUUGUUGUUGUGUCUUAACCGAAGAAGGCAAAGUUUAGCAACAUGUUUUCAAGGGCCUUCAGACAACAGUGUAAAAUCCAUGUGACAGAUUGCUGUAUUUUAUGACAAGGACCAGGGCAACUUACCUUGUCUUUUACAGAGAUAGACAGACCUGUCUGGAAAAGACAAAGGAGAUCACUAAGUAACUACAGAUACUAAAAUUAUACUGGUUUUAAGAUGAUCGAUGAAGAUGAACACUUAACAGCAUUCACAGGUGUGUACUAGUAAUCAGAUUAUUAGCAGAUUUCCUAAUGCU